rnacentral:rRNA from 1 species
GUGAAUGAAGAAGGCCUUCGGGUUGUAAAGUUCUUUCGUGGAGGACGAAAAGGUGGGUGCUAAUAUCGCCUGCUGUUGACGUGAAUCCAAGAAGAAGCACCGGCUAACUCCGUSCCAGCAGCCGCSGUAAUACGGGGGGUGCAAGCGUUAAUCGGAAUCACUGGGCGUAAAGGGUGCGUAGGCGGUGCAUUAGGUCUGUCGUGAAAUCCCCSSSCUCAACCUGGGAAUSSCSGUUGGAAASCGUGUACSSGAGSASGGGAGAGGGUGGUGGAAUUCCAGGUGU